GGUAACCUGCCUCACACAGGGGGAUAACAGUUAGAAAAUGCUGCUAAUACCGCAUAAGCGCACAGUACCGCAUGGUACAGUGUGAAAAACUCCGGUGGUGUGAGAUGGAUCCGCGUCUGAUUAGCCAGUUGGCGGGGUAACGGCCCACCAAAGCGACGAUCAGUAGCCGACCUGAGAGGGUGACCGGCCACAUUGGGACUGAGACACGGCCCAA
rnacentral:rRNA from 1 species